rnacentral:rRNA from 1 species
CCCUUAGAUGUUCUGGGCCGCACGCGUGCUACACUGAGUGGAUCAGCGGGUCAGGUUGCGCGAAAGUGUUUCCUAAUCUUGAAAUCCGCUCGUGAUGGGGAUUGACGGUUGCAAUUUUCCGUCAUGAACGAGGAAUACCUUGUAAGCGCGGGUCAUCAUCCGACGCUGAAUGCGUCCCUGCCCUUUGUACACACCGCCCGUCGCUCCUACCGAUGAGUCGUCCGGUGAAGUUCGUAGACCUCGUGAUCGCGGAUCACUGGGGGAAGCAAAAUGAACCUCGCGGUUUAGAGGAAGGAGAAGUCGUAACA